AGGCACGUGACAAGAGCUAAAGAUAAGAAUUUAGAGUAUAAAUAGAAUUAGAGGAGGAUUGUGAACAUCAUCAUGCGUGAUCAUUGAUGUGUAAAGAGGAAUUAGAGCUUAUGUGCUCUGUUCUUAGGUGAUGAGAUUGGAGAACUGUAACUCCAAGCUUAUCAAUUAAGGUUUGUGAUUGUAUUGUGGAUUGAGAAGAGAUAAGAGGGAAGAGUUUGUAUCUUCAAUCUUAUCAAUUGGUGCGUCGUGACUGUGAUCGGAGUUAUCGCAAGUGAAGAUUUAGGGUUUGAUGAAAUUGGGGAGUUUACCAAAUUGAAGAAUCAAAGGAUCGGAGAUGGAGAUGCAGCAAGAUUCACCGGUUAGAGAGCUACCAGCGGCGGAGCAAACAGCGGCUUCAGCUAUACAGUUUUACGAUCAUUUGGCGAAGAUGAGUUCGAUGGUUCGUUGUGUAGAAUCACAUUUGGAUUAAAGAAUCAACGCUCAGGAUCAACAGUUCUUGGAGAGUAAGCAGAAGCUAUCAGGGAAAGCGACAGUGCAAGAAGUUGGAGGCAAGAGUCAAAUUACCACUUCAAGAUCACAAGAUCAAACCAAUCAGGAGCUUGUUUGUACACAAAAGCCACGUAAUUUGCCGGAGAUGAUGACUAUAGCCAGAGCUUUGGAGUUGAUUAUAAAGAGAAGUGUUGGUAACGAAGAGAUGAUGUUGGCCAGUAGAGAGAGUAAGGAGAAUCAAGGAUCUGACUCUGCAGUGAUUAUGUUAAACAAAUUAAGUCAAGAAGCAGGCUCACAUAAGACUGAGUUACUAUCAGAUUCUGUGCAGAAUCUAGAAGGGAUAUCUUUGAAUGAGCCAACACAGGAGAUUAUGCAAGGUAAUGAAGAUAACAAGGCAAAAGAGCUCGAGUUGCCAAAUUUUCAUGGAUUGUAUCCAUGUGGUUGGAUAGCAAGGGUUGAAAGAUUAAUUUGAUCUGGUUGACAUACCGACAUGGAGAAGAUACAAUUGGUGUGUCCGAAAUUAGAAGGAGAUGCUCGUAGUUGGUUCAAGAAUGUGUCUUUCAAGAAUUGGAAAGAUUUCAAGUCACGAUUGUAUGUUCGGUUUGGGAACGUUAAGCCUUUAAGCCCAUCAAUACAAACUUCUGAUUAUGAAGUGAUUUUAGUAAAAGAUUCAAUGCAAGAAUCAGAUUCAGCUGAGGAGGAGCAUGAGUUGAUUGAGACAGGUUCUUGUCAGAAAAAAGCUUUGAUUUUUAAAGAUGAAUCAAGGAACCUUCUUGAGGAUUUAACAUUGGAAGUUCUAGAGUACAAUCGACUCUUGUCACCUACCGAGGCCAAUGUUGCUUGGAUGGUUCAGAAAGAGGAAAGUUACAUGGUGGAGAAAUCAAUUUGAGGCAAUUGAUACAAAAAGAAGAAUCUGUUUGUGUGAAGAAAUUGUGUCAUCAACAAGCUUCAGACUUGGUAAUAGCUGGCAAAGGAUUUCAGGAUAACAUCAAGAUGGUUUUGAUAAAAGGUGAUGGUGAGAUGUUUCAGAAUUUGAGUAGUACAACAACAUAUUGCUCUCCAUACCAAAUGUCCAGGCCAUUGUCUCCACCGACAGAAAGUUUGAAAACAAAGAAGAGAAAAAGACAUUUGAAAUCAUGGAUGUUCAAAUAUAAGCCAAAGAAGGUACGGCUUAAGAGACGACACAAUCAUGAUUACUCACACACUUGGAGCAGAAGAGUGAGUUGGAAGAGAAAAAAGACUGCAACAUUCUGUUUAGUUUCAAAUCAUACUCGGUUUCUUAUGGCUAGUUUUAAGCUCGACAAAGAGUAGGAACUUGUGAGAAUGAGGUGCAAAUGGAGAUACAAGUACCUACCCACAAUGAUGAUGUGGGAAAACAUAUCGCAAUUACAAUCUGAUUCUGCAAUUGAUGCAUCACAGUUUGGUAUGAGCUUUGCUGUUGGUCUACGAAGGCUGGUUUCAUCCAUCUUAGGCGAGACUUAUUACUUUUCGGUGUGGCAUUGUUGGUCUCAGAGUGGGCAAAACAGAAACCCUGCAACUUAUGCAUUGCUGGAACAGUUUAUAAAAAGAGACACUCAUGUUCAGCAUCAUACUUCAUGUGAAGAUUCCAAGUUUGAGGAAAAUAAGAGUUUUGUAUGUGUGCUUCGCUUGGACGGUAUACUUCUCUGAUUUACAGAUUCAUGGAAGAGAAAUUUUGCAAGGAUUGGUGGUUUAAGUUCAAAGAUUUAAGGACUGCAGUUACUAUUUUUUCCAUCUUCACUAAAUUUGCUACAUCACAGCUUGAGGACAAGCUGUUUUGAAAGGGGGGAGUAUUGAUAAGAGAGCAAUGUGGGAGAAAUAAAGGCACGUGACAAGAGCUAAAGAGAAGAAUUUAGAGUAUAAAUAGAAUUAGAGGAGGAUUGUGAACAUCAUCCUGCAUGAUCAUUGAUGUGUAAAGAGAAAUUAGAGCUUAUGUGCUCUGUUCUUAGGUGAUGAGAUUGGAUAACUGUAACUCCAAGCUUAUCAAUUAGGGUUUGUGAUUGUAAUGUGGAUUGAGAAGAGAUAAGAGAGAAGAGUUUGUAUCUUCAAUCUUAUCAUAAAGAUUAACUAGCCGAUAUCUUAACUAAUAAAGCUUUGGGACAUGUUCAGUUCGUAGACAUUAUAUUCAAGUUGGGUAUUCAAAAUUUUCAUGCUCCAAGGUGAGGGAGAAUAUAAGACCGUGUAUAACACCAAGUCGUUUUGUAUGGGUCAUGGUCUGGUACGUUUUAUGACGGUUGUUGUAAAUCCUAAAGUGAUGUGUAUAUAAACUCUUGUAUGAUCGUUUUGUUAACAAACACAAGUCAGUUUUGAUAA